AACGAGAAAGUAGCAAUACAAGUAGAGUGGCGCACGGGUGAGUAAUGAUUAGAUAAUGCGCCUCCUUGCUGGGGAUAACCAGGGGAAACCUUGGCUAAUACCGAAUAGUCCGGUUCUUACUACGGUUUGAAUCGGUAAAGCCUUCGGGCGCGAGGAGAGUGGUCUAAUUCCCAUUAGCUUGUUGGUAGGGUAAUGGCCUACCAAGGCGACGAUGGGUAGCUGGUCUGAGAGGACGAUCAGCCACACUGGAACUGGAACACGGUCCAGACUCCUACGGGAGGCAGCAGUUAGGAAUAUUGCGCAAUGGGGGAAACCCUGACGCAGCAACGCCGCGUGAAGGAUGAAGGCUUUCGGGUUGUAAACUUCUUUUAGCAGGAAAGAACAAAAUGACGGUACC
rnacentral:rRNA from 1 species